GACUGCUCGGGGUUAGGCUGGGCAUCGGUCAGCGAGUGGUCUGGAUGUGAAAUGACAGUGCCAUUAUUGUUAUCAUCGUUCCUUAUCUGCUGAAGGACAUUUGAGCUAAAGCAGUGCAAAACUCUUCUGACAAAUUCCAAAACCAUGGUCAAGACACCUAACUUCAGAUCUACUUAAAAAGUGAAAGUUACUGCUACUCUUGUUGGUGCUGAAGAAUGGGUCAUGUCGUCCUUUUUGUAUACUUGAAUGGAUUGUGGCAUUCCAGAUCCAUUUCAAGUUGUGCAACAGCACUUCACAUACUGUAGCUGAAGUGCCUUAAUUCAGUGAUCAGACUGUGACCCACAGGCCAUUUUUAGAAAUCUACAGAAGUAACUGCAGCUUUGCCAAUACACCAUCUACUCAGGUAAAGAAGGACAGCUAAGUGGUGAGAAGACUGCUCCACUACUCCAUACUCUCCUGGAGAAGCAUAACAGAUUCAGGCAGGAUUUCUGAUAAAUCUCUGCUUAUUUUCAGCCUUGUUACCUGAGGCAGGAGAGAGGUUUGAAACUCCAUGCCUCAAGUGCCUGUACAGACUUGCUGCCUAUCUGGUUUAAUUCCCCCAGUUUCUUCCCUUACCAGAGCUCAUAUACAACAAAAUUCUUGGUCAUACUGUUCCUACCCAUGGGCAUCUGGAGGCCUUACACACUGAAUAAAAAGAAGAAGGCCACUAGAGAAGGACAGAAAGAGUAUCUGAUUGCACAGGUCAAGACCAAUGAAAGCAGUUACUCUGGCCUUUAGUACAUUCUAUGCAUGUUUCCUCUUCAAGUCCUUUAAGAAUUUGUUCAUUUAUGCCUGAGAAGUGAUAAUGACCAAAGAGGAAAGGGAAUUACUCAAACUGGGCCCCUCACAUAGCAAAAGCCUGUGACUUGAGAACAUGCAUACAGAUCUCCUUCCUUGCUCUGUUAGAUAAAGGCCUGCUGAGCCAACUAGGUUUAACUCUCCAGUCAAUGUUUGCAGAAUGAAUAGUGUGAACUGCCUUGAGACGGAUUUGCCACCCGCAGCUAGGAGCUUCCUUGCUGUUUAAAGCAAGGCCAGAGGACUGCCAGUGUCAUUGAGCUGUGGCUGAGGAAGAUGCAACUGAAGAAAUAUUAGAGCAGCUCCAGCCUCCUAUUUCUUACAGAGCUCUGUGCGAGUGUGUAUCUCCACAGAGCCAUCUUGAAAUAAUUUCCAAAACUCCGCAGAUUUUAGAAAUUUACUUUAUCACAGACUUUGGUAAAUUGCAUUGUUUUAAAUAUAGACAAUAUUUAUGCUUGCAUUAGAUAUAAAAUAAAAGGCAGCAAUAGUUCUA